UUACCUAACUUACCUAUAAAAGGCGCCCUCUUAUUAAUUUCUCUAUCCUCAAUCUCACAUAACACGCUUAUUUUGUCCCCUCUUGUUUCUCUCAUCCGAAAAUCGAAAGGAACGCAAACCUUUUUCCUCCUUCAUCCGAAAAAUCGACCGAGCAACGAAGCCAAAUUUGAAGCCUAAAUGACACGAAUCAGUAAUACCAAAGAGAAGCCCUGAUCGGUCUCCCCCUUCCCUCAUCCGAUUCUCUCUAAUGUGCUUCCAAAACAAGCCCUAAUCCUGGUAUGUCUCCAAUUUUUAAACUUUUGUGUGGAAUCAAUUCUUUUUGGGGUAUUCUAGUUUCUAAAAAAUAUAAAACUAUAACCAUCAUGUGUGGAAUCCUGUGUGUUCUCUCUCAUUUUCAGACAAAACAAACCCCUUUCCCUAAUCCGAUUCGGUCGAAAGGAACGAAGCUGUGUUCGAUUUCUUCCCCUGCUACUGACCCGAAUCAGUUCAAGCAACCCUAGAUAAGCUUUUAAGGUGCGAUUUCUUUUUUCAUUUCGGACACUAAAACUUUGAUUUAUUAAGGUUUGGGUUAUAGGUUUUCAUUUUAAUUUCUACAUAAUUCGAGUUUUAGUCACUAUUUGUUGUAUAUUUAAUAAAGAAAUUUAUUUGUUGUGAUUGAAUGUUUUUGCUUAGCUAUUGAAAAUUGAAGAUGAGUGGUGAUUAGAGUUUUGGACUAAGUUUUUUAGCUGGUGGGUUCGUCAAAUGAGGGUAUUUGAAGCUAUGGGUUUCAGUUGUUUUGGUGCAUUUGAUUCCUGUAUACAUAUUAACAUGUUUAAGAAAUAUUUGGGCUUCCCUUUUUUGGGAAAAGUUGGUUGUUUCAAAAUGUUUAGUUUAGGUUUUUGUGUUGAGAAGUUGAAGGAUAUUUUUGGGUUAAUUUGACUGAAGGAUUGAUAUUUUUGAAUUGUGUGAACUUUAAAUUGAUUAGGGUUGAUUGUUGCGUGAUUACAAAUUAGUGGGCUAUUAAAGAUUCAAGUGAUUACUACUUGUUUGUUAUUCUAGAUUUGAAGCCAAUGCAAAUAUAAAGUGUACUCUUACCAUUUUUGAGAUGGGGUUGUGUAAAAUAUUUGAAUGUGAGUGAAGAUCAUCGGUUUUAGGCUUUUAGCUAUAAAUUUGGUUUAUAGCUUGUGAAAAGAUUUUGGGUUUUUAGCAAACUUUUUUGUGGGAAUGAGGUACUCAUUCGGGAUCAUUAGUGGGUUUUGUUCCGUUUGAGUGAUUUCAAUUUAAAAAAGUGAAAUCUUUAUAAUUUUGUCAUCCACUUAAUAAAUUUCAUUUCCUUGCUUGGGUUUUAAUGCAGACUGGUAUGAUUUCUCCAAGUAAAUUGAGGAUGAAGCUUAUAGGACAUCAGAGGGAAAAAGAUGGAUCAAAUAGUAACUCAGGUAGAACUUCUCCUUCCAAGCUUGAGGAUACUGAGUUUGUAAGGAACAACUUGUUAGCCUCCAAUGGUGAAGAUUUUUAUGAGAAAGAUUAACGGAAUGGAGCAAGAGAUGGAGAAAAUGCGUGCAAUAGGCAAAAUGCGAAGAAACAAAUUUAUUACUGCACUUAUUUGUUCUUGGUUAUUGAUUUUAAUCAUGUUAUUGUAGAUGUACUAAAUAUUGUAAUAUUGUGUUGAAUAUUGUCAUGUUCAUUAAGGAUCUGUAAGAAUCUAUAAAUAUUGUUCAUACUGUAAAAUGUGUUGAAUAUUGUCAUGUUCCUUUAAGGAUUGUUCAUUCAGUUUGUUGUUGUAUUUUGUUAACAUGUAAUAUAACAAUGGCCAGAGUAAUAUAGCUAGACCUGCAAAUUGUAUACAUACUGUUUCCAAGAAAGGACCUUUUAUUUUAUACAGUCUUGAAAUAAACAAGGUCCUUUAUGUGACUAAGUGCUAAAAAUAAACACUUAGGGAAAGAAAAUAAACAAGGUCUUUUAUACAGUCUUGAUUUGCGAAUAAGUGGGUAGCACUUGGGGUGAGAAAAUAUCAACACUGAUUUACAAUCUUUAAAGAAUCAACCUUUUUUGUUUAGAAUGAUUUGGGGAUUAAUUUAUACUUGUAAUUUUCUCUAUACGGCACACUACCAUAUAAUACUACUAUUUUUUUGGAAUGCUAUGAUACUUUCAUGCCAAUGAC
rnacentral:lncRNA from 1 species